GAUGAAGAACGUAGCGAAAUGCGAUACUUGGUGUGAAUUGCAGAAUCCCGUGAACCAUCGAGUCUUUGAACGCAAGUUGCGCCCGAAGCCAUUAGGCCGAGGGCACGCCUGCCUGGGCGUCACACGUCGUUGCCCCCCCCAUCUACUCCUUCGGGAUUGCGGGGGGCGGAUGAUGGCCUCCCGUGCGCCUCGCCGCGCGGUUGGCAUAAAUGCCAAGUCCUCGGCGACGCACGCCACGACAAUCGGUGGUUGCGAAACCUCGGUUGCCCGUCGUGUGCGGUCGUCGCGCAUCGAGGGCUCGAAAAAAUUGCCGAGUUCCGGCUCGGCUUUCAACGCGACCCCAGGUCAAGCGGGGUUACCCGCUGAAUUUAAGCAUAUCAAUAAGCGGAGGA
rnacentral:misc_RNA from 1 species